GACGAACGCUGGCGGCGUGCCUAACACAUGCAAGUCGAGCGGAGAUAGGCUGAUGGUAACUGAAGCUUAUCUUAGCGGCGGACGGGUGAGUAACACGUGGGCAACCUGCCUUGGAGUGGGGGAUAACACCGGGAAAUCGGUGCUAAUACCGCAUAACAUACACAUACUGCAUGGUGAGUGUAUCAAAGGAGCAAUCCGCUUUAAGAUGGGCCCGCGGCUGAUUAGCUAGUUGGUAAGGUAACGGCUUACCAAGGCGACGAUCAGUAGCCGACCUGAGAGGGUGACCGGCCACACUGGAACUGAGACACGGUCCAGACUCCUACGGGAGGCAGCAGUGGGGAAUAUUGCGCAAUGGGGGAAACCCUGACGCAGCAACGCCGCGUGGAGGAAGAAGGUCUUCGGAUUGUAAACUCCUGUCUUCUGGGACGAAGUAUGACGGUAUCUGACCAGAAAGCCACGGCUAACUACGUGCCAGCAGCCGCGGUAAAGAGU
rnacentral:rRNA from 1 species